AUUGAACGCUGGCGGCAGGCCUAACACAUGCAAGUCGAGCGGCAGCGGGAAAGUAGCUUGCUACUUUUGCCGGCGAGCGGCGGACGAGUGAGUAAUGCCUGGGAAAUUGCCCAGUCGAGGGGGAUAACAGUUGGAAACGACUGCUAAUACCGCAUACGCCCUACGGGGGAAAGCAGGGGACCUUCGGGCCUUGCGCGAUUGGAUAUGACCAGGUGGGAUUAGCUAGUUGGUGAGGUAAUGGCUCACCAAGGCGACGAUCCCUAGCGGGGCUGAGAGGAUGAUCAGCCACACUGGAACUGAGACACGGUCCAGACUCCUACGGGAGGCAGCAGUGGGGAAUAUUGCACAAUGGGGGAAACCCUGAUGCAGCCAUGCCGCGUGUGUGAAGAAGGCCUUCGGGUUGUAAAGCACUUUCAGCGAGGAGGAAAGGUUGAUGCCUAAUACGUAUCAACUGUGACGUUACUCGCAGAAGAAGCACCGGCUAACUCCGUGCCAGCCGCCGCCGUAAAAC
rnacentral:rRNA from 1 species